GAUGAAGAACGUAGCGAAAUGCGAUAAGUAAUGUGAAUUGCAGAAUUCAGUGAAUCAUCGAAUCUUUGAACGCACAUUGCGCCUGCCAGUAGUCUGGCGGGCAUGCCUGUUCGAGCGUCAUUUCAACCCUCAGGCCCCCAGUGCCUGGCGUUGGGGAUCGGCGCGGCGCCCUCCGGGGCGCUGCCGGCCCCGAAAUUCAGUGGCGGUCUCGCUGUAGCCCUCCUCCGCGUAGUAGCACAACCUCGCGGUCUGGAGCUCGGCGGUGGCCAUGCCGUAAAACACCCCACUUCUGAAAGUUGACCUCGGAUCAGGUAGGAAUACCCGCUGAACUUAAGCAUAUCAAUAAGCGGAGGA
rnacentral:misc_RNA from 1 species